rnacentral:misc_RNA from 1 species
GUGAAUCAUCGAAUUUUUGAACGCAUAUUGCACCAUCUGGUAUUCCGGAGAGUAUGCCUAUUUGAGGGUCAUUUGAAAUAAUAGAAAUUUCGAGAUUUUCUUGAAAUCAAAAAUGGUUCGGUUCAGCUUUCUUGUGGUGGUCGGCUAAAAUGCAAGACAAGCUCAUUUCUUGGGUUGCGUGAUACUUUCAGUUAUCGCGCGACUUCACAGGAAAUCGUCGAUCGUGUUAA